rfam:Burkholderia sp. MR1 ctg67, whole genome shotgun sequence.
GUUUCCCUGCCUAGUGCGCCAAGGUCAUAUAUUCCUUGAACCAAUGUCACAUUGGCACGGUUGCGGAACCUUGUAACACGGGCGCGCGCGUCACUCUGUCUGAUGUACCCGAAGUGUUGCUUACCGCGACCAAUCUUGAACCCAGGUUCAGGAUGCCGGCCUAGCGGCUGAGGCGGGGACCUU